UCAAUAGAUUUUGCGGAAGUGUAGAGGAUUAGAUCAUCUGCAUACUGUAGAAUGUUACAGAAGGGUAACACGGCUUGCUCUAAAUCAUAUGUAUAUAUGCUGUAAAGUAUUGGGCUAAGAACGGAUCCUUGAGGAAGGCCCUGCCACAGUGUACGAGGAGAAAGAUAAGAACUGCCAUCACGGAUUUUGAUGGUUCUUCCUAUGAAUAGAUUGGAGACAAUUUGUACAAUUUUCACUGCAAUGCUCAGAUGUAGCAUUUUUGCUCUGAGCACCGGAAGAAGGACAUUGUCAUAAGCUGCCGAAAUAUCAAGAAAACAUCCUAGUAGGUCCUCAUUGUUAGAAAGCGAAAGUCUGAUAUCCGUGAAGAGGUUCAGGAGCCGGGGAUGGAAGAACAGAUGAGGGCUUGGAAAUAACAAUGGGAAAGUGAUCGCUGCCAUAGGACUGACGAAGCACAGUCCAAGAUAACAAUGAGGCCAAAUUAGGGGAGCAAGCUGACAAGUCGGGAACGGAUUGUGGGUUCUGGCCUGGAUAGACUCGAUGUGUGGGCGAUCCGUCGUUUAUAACGCAAACAUUGAUUUCAUCGAAGAUUUCUAACAAGAGUGACGAAAACCCGUCCGAAUGGUAUGAUCCCCAAGAAAUGUUAUGUGAAUUAAAAUCGCCUAAAACUAUAUGAGGAGGAGGGACAGAGGUUAGGAUAGAAGAUAAUUCAGGAAUAAGGUCAAGGUCAGGGUGAGGAAUAUAUAUUGAAAUGAAAUUAAUGCCCAUAACCUUAGCGGCUACGGCAUUAAUUUCAUUUCCAUGAGGAGGGAGGGGAAUUUGAGAGAAGGGGUAGGAUUGCUUGAUCAACAGAGCGCAUCCUGCACGUCCAUCAACGCGGUCAUCCCGGAGGCAUGAGAAGCCCGGGAGUCUAAAACGAGACCCGGGCCUCAGCCACGUCUCCGAGAUGGCCGCGACAGACACAGAAUGGUCAUUGAUCAGCUGGAUGAGAUCUGUUUUUUUAGGAAAAAUACUCCGGCUAUUCCAUUGAAGAAAUGUGGCCUGGCGGUCCGUGGUGGUGAGGGAAGGAGAGUUUUUCUACUAGGGUCAACAUUAUAGGUGCAACGUCGUUCGGUAAUAUAUCACUCCAUUUGGCGAUGAUAUUAGUCAACAGUUUUAGGAGGAGCUCCAUGAGGUCCUCAUUUGGAGUUUCUCUGGUGUAUGAGUUAUUGAGGGCUUGUCCGUUGGGAAUUUGGGAUGGAGGGGGUCGGACUAUAUUGUUAUGGGCUUGUUGGUCAUAACCUGGGGACAAGGAAGGUCUUGACCGAGGUGACAAAAAUACUGUUUUGCGGUGAGAGGUUCUGGGAGGGGUAGAAGGUAAAUCUGUUAAGUCAAAGGUUGAUUGUGAUGGGGGGGAAGGUUCUCUUGUGGGGCCAAACAUUAUAUUUGCAACGUCCGCAUAGGGUCUACGACUAACAACUGGGACUUGUGUGGAUGCUUCAGCAUAUGAAAUGUUUCUUUCAGACAUUAUCAGUUUGAUGGACUUUUGUCGGUGAUGUUCUGGGCAGUUUCUGUCAGUGGCAUAGUGUCGGGCAGUGCAAAAAAUACAGGAUAUGUGUUCGGGAGCUACAUUACACCCAUCACCCGGGUGCUUUUGGGCACAUUUGUAGCAGCGGGCAUCUGAGCGACAUUGAGUCUGAAUGUGUCCAAAUCUAAGGCAUUUUCGGCAUUGAAUUGUUGGCAGUAGGUAUACUUCCACCACUAGAGAAGUAUAAUAAGCAAAUAUUCUAGAUGGCAAAGUUUGACCUUCAAAAGUAACUACUACAGUCUGGGUUGGAACCCAGGAUGGAGAUCCAUCUUCCUUAGUCACUUUCCUUUGUAGGCGACGCGCUUUCAGAAUCCUACCUUUACCUUCUAUUAAAUUUGUACCCUUAACGAAAUCAGUCAUGGACCAAUCCGUUGGAACUCCUCGAACUAGACCCAUACGAGAAAUGUUGUAUGUUGGUAUGUUUGCUGAUAGUUUGUAUUUAUCUAACAUAGGGUUUUUUAAGAUAGAGUUGGCAUCAACGGCUUUAUUGAAUGUUACUGAAACUCUAUUGCGGCCUACAGAUUUUAUCCCGUCCUUCUUAAUAUUUGUGACAUUUGCCUGUGUUAAGAGCAUACCUACAUAGAUGGCUUUCAGUGUUGACCUGGAGUCAGCAGAAGAUUCCUUUGAGAUGUGAACCACAAAUGGGCCAUCGUCGUCUGCAUUGUAUCCUCUGCCUUCUGUGUCAAGAUCAGGGUGUUUGUACAAAAGUGGGUUAGCAUUCUCAUCGCGUUGUUUAUCUACGUGGGGGUUGGUGGCAUCCUCAUUUACUAUUGCUAUUACCUGUUCCGAGAUCUCUUUGUUGUCGUUGGUUGUAAUUUUUUUAAGAGCCGGUUCUUGUGGGCUACUGACCGGUGAUAAGUCUAAUGUUUGCAAGUUUCUUUUUCUAGAAUUAUUUUCAAUGUCCAUACCAACCAUAACAUUAGAGUUACCAUCGGUCUCGUCAGGUGGCUUUUCCUUCUCAUUCCCUACCAUUGGCCCUAAGGCCAAAAAGGCCUUACCCUAGCUUUGUAUCAGAACAAAUGUAUUAAUAAACUAAUUUAUGUAAAUAAACCUCAACCAAGUUAAUAAAUAA